AGUCAAGAGAAUAAGAGCACACGGUGGAUGCCUUGGCGCCAAGAGCCGAUGAAGGACGUGGGCGGCUGCGAUAAGCCUCGGGAAGGAGCUGACCAUCCGUUGAUCCGAGGAUUUCCGAAUGGGGAAACCUACGCGUGGUAAUGCGCGCGUACUCCUGCCUGAAUAAAAUAGGGCAGGAAGAGGCAAGCCGGGGAACUGAAACAUCUUAGUACCCGGAGGAAAGGAAAGAAACCUCGACUCCCUGAGUAGUGGCGAGCGAAAAGGGAUCUAGCCCAAACCUGUGCGAUGUGAUAGACGGCAGUCGUUGUCGUGCAGGGGUUGUAGGGCUCGUCUUGAUCCGUCUGCCGGCGGGUCGGGAAGUUACAAAGUCGCGUGUUAGUCGAAUCGACUGGAACGUCGAACCACAGCGGGUAACAGUCCCGUAGGCGAAAACGCGCGGCCUUCCUUGACGAGCUCCUGAGUACGGCCGGGCACGGGAAACCUGGUCGGAACCCGCGGGGACCACCCCGCAAGGCUAAGUACUCCUUGGCGACCGAUAGUGAACUAGUACCGUGAGGGAAAGGUGAAAAGUACCCCGGAAGGGGAGUGAAAUAGCACCUGAAACCGUGUGCUUACAAGCGGUCGGAGCAGGCCAGUCUUUGGCUGGUCCUGUGACGGCGUGCCUUUUGCAUAAUGAGCCAGCGAGUUGCUCUUCAACGGCAAGGUUAAGGAAACGGAGCCGAAGCGAAAGCGAGUCUGAACAGGGCGUUCAGUCGUUGGAGGCAGACCCGAAACUGAGUGAUCUACCCAUGGGCAGGUUGAAGCGGGGGUAAGACCCCGUGGAGGACCGAACCGACGUCGGUUGAAAACGGCGCGGAUGACCUGUGGGUCGGAGUGAAAGGCUAAUCAAACUCAGAGAUAUCUGGUUCUCCCCGAAAUAUAUUUAGGUAUAGCGUCACGCGUUCACUGUUGGUUGUAGAGCACUGUUUGGCCUAGGGGGCCUACCAGCUUACUGAAGUCAGGCAAACUCCGAAUGCCGACAGUCCAGAGCGUGGCAGUCAGACUGUGGGGGAUAAGCUCCAUGGUCGAAAGGGAAACAGCCCAGACCGUCAGCUAAGGCCCCAAAUUCCAGGCUAAGUGGGAAACGAUGUCCGAUUGCUGAGACAACCAGGAUGUUGGCUUAGAAGCAGCCACCAUUCAAAGAGUGCGUAACAGCUCACUGGUCAAGUGAUCGGGCGCGGACAAUGUAACGGGGCUCAAGCCUGGAGCCGAAGCUACGGACUUCACGGUCCUUCGGGGUCGUGGAGUGGUAGGGGAGCGUUCCCAUGCCCGCGAAGCGGCGGCGUAAGCCAGCCGUGGAGGCAUGGGAAGUGAGAAUGCUGGCAUGAGUAACGAAAGAGGGGUGAGAAACCCCUCCGCCGAAUGCCCAAGGGUUCCUGAGUAAAGCUAAUCUGCUCAGGGUUAGUCGGGACCUAAGCCGAGGCCGAAAGGCGUAGGCGAUGGCCAACCGGUUGAUAUUCCGGUACCACGUCCCCACCGCUAUUACCGAUGGCGGGACGGGGUAGGAUAGGGGAUCCCAGGCGAUGGUCGACCUGGGGCAACCGCGUAGGGCGGACGAUAGGCAAAUCCGUCGUCCAUCAAGCCUGAGACGGGAGGCCGACCCCAGAAAUGGGGGAAGUCCCGGAAGCCAUGCCUCCUAGAAAAGCGUCUAGGGAGGUGGGACGUGCCCGUACCAAAACCGACACAGGUGGGCAGGUAGAGAAUACUAAGGCGAUCGGAAGAACCCUCGUUAAGGAACUCGGCAAAAUGGCCCCGUAACUUCGGGAGAAGGGGCGCCCCAGUAGAGUGAGCGGACUUGCUCCGUUAGCUCGAGGGGGCCGCAGUGAAACGGCCCAAGCGACUGUUUACCAAAAACACAGGUCUCUGCGAAGUCGAAAGACGACGUAUAGGGGCUGACGCCUGCCCGGUGCCGGAAGGUCACGAGGAGAGGUUAGCUUUCGGGCAAAGCCUUGAAUCCAAGCCCCGGUAAACGGCGGCGGUAACUAUAACCGUCCUAAGGUAGCGAAAUUCCUUGUCGGGUAAGUUCCGACCUGCACGAAUGGCGUAACGACUUGGGCGCUGUCUCAACGAGGGAUCCGGUGAAAUUGUAGUCUCGGUGAAGAUGCCGAGUACCCGUGGCUGGACGGAAAGACCCCGUGAACCUUUACUGCAGCUUUGCGUUGAAGUCUGGUGUACGUUGUCCAGGAUAGGUGGGAGACUUUGAAGCGGGAACGCUAGUUUCCGUGGAGUCACCCUUGGGAUACCACCCCCCGUGUUCUGGGCUUCUAACCCGGCACCGUUAUCCGGGCCGGGGACAGCGUGAGGUGGGCAGUUUGACUGGGGCGGUCGCCUCCUAAAAUGUAACGGAGGCGCGCAAUGGUUCCCUCAGCACGGUUGGAAAUCGUGCGUAGAGCGCAAAGGCAUAAGGGAGCUUGACUGCGAGACUGACAAGUCGAGCAGGGACGAAAGUCGGCCUUAGUGAUCCGGCGGUGGAGAGUGGAAUCGCCGUCGCUCAACGGAUAAAAGGUACUCCGGGGAUAACAGGCUCAUCCUUCCCAAGAGUCCACAUCGACGGAAGGGUUUGGCACCUCAACAUCUGGGGUGGGUCGGCAGAAAUGCCGGCCAUGUAUCGGCUAAUAACGGCGAAGCCCACGCCUGAGCGUCGAUUCGAUCGGCGCGAAUAAGUUGGGUAAUGCCGUGGGAAGUCUGUCGGAAGUGAGACCAGUAGCUGCACGCUUCCGCAAGUGACCCCGUAACGACUGAGGCCUUCGGGCCGAGGUGGUGUCUCCGCUCCGUAGGAGCACUCUGUGAGCGCCACAACACGCCGACCCCUCGCCUUUGGUCAGGCAGGGUGAAGACAUAGUCUGCGCCGCCGGUAACGGCGGAACAACGUGCGAUGUCGGCUCGUCGCAUCCUGGGGCUGAAGCAGGUCCCAAGGGUUGGGCUGUCCGCCCAUUAAAGCGGCACGCGAGCUGGGUUCAGAACGUCGUGAGACAGUUCGGUCCCUAUCCGCCAUGGGCGUUGGAGGUUUGAGAGGAGUCGUCUCUAGUACGAGAGGACCGAGAUGAACAGGCCUCUGGUGUAUCAGUUGUCCUGCCAAGGGCAUCGCUGAUUAGCCACGCCUGGAUGGGAUAACCGCUGAAAGCAUCUAAGCGGGAAGCCCACCUCGAGAUGAGACCUCCCAUCCCCUAGAGGGAGUAAGGGCCGUGGUAGACCACCACGUCGAUAGGCGGGGCGUGCAAGCGCAGCAAUGCGUUCAGCGAACCCGUACUAAUUGCCCGAGGUCUUGACUUU
rnacentral:rRNA from 1 species